rnacentral:rRNA from 1 species
UACGUAGGUGGCAAGCGUUGUCCGGAAUUAUUGGGCGUAAAGCGCGCGCAGGCGGUCCUUUAAGUCUGAUGUGAAAGCCCACGGCUCAACCGUGGAGGGUCAUUGGAAACUGGGGGACUUAGUGCAGAAGAGGAAAGCGGAAUUCCACGUGUAGCGGUGAAAUGCGUAGAGAUGUGGAGGAACACCAGUGGCGAAGGCGGCUUUCUGGUCUGUAACUGACGUGAGGCGCGAAAGCGUGGGGAGCAAACAGG